rnacentral:rRNA from 1 species
AGUGAACGCUGGCGGUAGGCCUAACACAUGCAAGUCGAACGGCAGCACAGUAAGAGCCUGCUCUUACGGGUGGCGAGUGGCGGACGGGUGAGGAAUACAUCGGAAUCUACUUUUUCGUGGGGGAUAACGUAGGAAAACUUACGCUAAUACCGCAUACGACCUACGGGUGAAAGCAGGGGAUCUUCGGACCUUGCGCGAUUGAAUGAGCCGAUGUCGGAUUAGCUAGUUGGCGGGGUAAAGGCCCACCAAGGCGACGAUCCGUAGCUGGUCUGAGAGGAUGAUCAGCCACACGGGAAGUGAGACACGGUCCAGACUCCUACGGGAGGCAGCAGUGGGGAAUAUUGGACAAUGGGCGCAAGCCUGAUCCAGCCAUACCGCGUGGGUGAAGAAGGCCUUCGGGUUGUAAAGCCCUUUUGUUGGGAAAGAAAAGCAGCAGGUUAAUACCCCGCUGUUCUGACGGUACCCAAAGAAUAAGCACCGGCUAACUUCGUG